rnacentral:rRNA from 1 species
GUGAGGAAUAUUGGUCAAUGGGCGAGAGCCUGAACCAGCCAAGUCGCGUGAAGGAAGAAGGAUCUAUGGUUCGUAAACUUCUUUUGCAGGGGAAUAAAGUGCGGGACGUGUCCUGUUUUGUAUGUACCCUGAGAAUAAGGAUCGGCUAACUCCGUGCCAGCAGCCGCGGUAAUACGGAGGAUCCGAGCGUUAUCCGGAUUUAUUGGGUUUAAAGGGUUCGUAGGUGGUUUGAUAAGUCAGCGGUGAAAGUUUGCAGCUUAACUGUAAAAAUGCCGUUGAAACUGUCGGACUUGAGUGUAAAUGAGGUAGGCGGAAUGCGUGGUGUAGCGGUGAAAUGCAUAGAUAUCACGCAGAACUCCGAUUGCGAAGGCAGCUUACUAAGCUACAACUGACACUGAAGCACGAAAGCGUGGGGAUCAAACAGGAGUAGAAACCCCAGUAGUCC